rnacentral:rRNA from 1 species
UACGUAGGGUGCAAGCGUUGUCCGGAAUUAUUGGGCGUAAAGAGCUCGUAGGCGGUUUGUCGCGUCUGCUGUGAAAACUCGGGGCUUAACUCCGGGCCUGCAGUGGGUACGGGCAGACUAGAGUGCGGUAGGGGAGACUGGAAUUCCUGGUGUAGCGGUGAAAUGCGCAGAUAUCAGGAAGAACACCUAUGGCGAAGGCAGCUCUCUGGGACGGUACUGACGCUGAGACGCGAAAGCGUGGGGAGCGAACAGG